UGGCGGCUGUAGCGCGGUGGUCCCACCUGACCCCAUGCCGAACUCAGAAGUGAAACGCCGUAGCGCCGAUGGUAGUGUGGGGCCUCCCCAUGCGAGAGUAGGGAACUGCCAG
rnacentral:rRNA from 2 species